CUUGCUUGGGGUACUCGAGUGGCGAACGGGUGAGUAAUACGUGGGUAACCUGCCCUCUUCUUUGGGAUAAGCCCCGGAAACGGGGUCUAAUACCGGAUAUUCUGCUUCUGCCGCAUGGUGGGGGUUGGAAAGGUUUUUCGGUGGGGGAUGGGCCCGCGGCCUAUCAGCUUGUUGGUGGGGUGAUGGCCUACCAAGGCUUCGACGGGUAGCCGGCCUGAGAGGGUGACCGGCCACAUUGGGACUGAGAUACGGCCCAGACUCCUACGGGAGGCAGCAGGC
rnacentral:rRNA from 1 species